rnacentral:rRNA from 1 species
UUAAGCGACUAAGCGUACACGGUGGAUGCCCUGGCAGUCAGAGGCGAUGAAGGACGUGCUAAUCUGCGAAAAGCGUCGGUAAGGUGAUAUGAACCGUUACAGCCGGCGAUGUCCGAAUGGGGAAACCCAGUGUGAUUCGUCACACUAUCGUUAACUGAAUACAUAGGUUAACGAGGCGAACCGGGGGAACUGAAACAUCUAAGUACCCCGAGGAAAAGAAAUCAACCGAGAUUCCCCCAGUAGCGGCGAGCGAACGGGGAGCAGCCCAGAGUCUGAAUCAGCUUGUGUGUUAGUGGAACGGUCUGGAAAGUCCGACGGUACAGGGUGAUAGUCCCGUACACCAAAAUGCACAGGCUGUGAACUCGAAGAGUAGGGCGGGACACGUGGUAUCCUGUCUGAAUAUGGGGGGACCAUCCUCCAAGGCUAAAUACUCCUGACUGACCGAUAGUGAACCAGUACCGUGAGGGAAAGGCGAAAAGAACCCCGGCGAGGGGAGUGAAAAAGAACCUGAAACCGUGUACGUACAAGCAGUGGGAGCACCUUCGGGUGUGACUGCGUACCUUUUGUAUAAUGGGUCAGCGACUUAUAUUCUGUAGCAAGGUUAACCGUAUAGGGGAGCCGCAGGGAAACCGAGUCUUAACUGGGCGUUAAGUUGCAGGGUAUAGACCCGAAACCCGGUGAUCUAGCCAUGGGCAGGUUGAAGGUUGGGUAACACUAACUGGAGGACCGAACCGACUAAUGUUGAAAAAUUAGCGGAUGACUUGUGGCUGGGGGUGAAAGGCCAAUCAAACCGGGAGAUAGCUGGUUCUCCCCGAAAGCUAUUUAGGUAGCGCCUCGUGAACUCAUCUUCGGGGGUAGAGCACUGUUUCGGCUAGGGGGUCAUCCCGACUUACCAACCCGAUGCAAACUACGAAUACCGAAGAAUGUUAUCACGGGAGACACACGGCGGGUGCUAACGUCCGUCGUGAAGAGGGAAACAACCCAGACCGCCAGCUAAGGUCCCAAAGUCAUGGUUAAGUGGGAAACGAUGUGGGAAGGCACAGACAGCCAGGAUGUUGGCUUAGAAGCAGCCAUCAUUUAAAGAAAGCGUAAUAGCUCACUGGUCGAGUCGGCCUGCGCGGAAGAUGUAACGGGGCUAAACCAUGCACCGAAGCUGCGGCAGCGACACUAUGUGUUGUUGGGUAGGGGAGCGUUCUGUAAGCCUGCGAAGGUGUGCUGUGAGGCAUGCUGGAGGUAUCAGAAGUGCGAAUGCUGACAUAAGUAACGAUAAAGCGGGUGAAAAGCCCGCUCGCCGGAAGACCAAGGGUUCCUGUCCAACGUUAAUCGGGGCAGGGUGAGUCGACCCCUAAGGCGAGGCCGAAAGGCGUAGUCGAUGGGAAACAGGUUAAUAUUCCUGUACUUGGUGUUACUGCGAAGGGGGGACGGAGAAGGCUAUGUUAGCCGGGCGACGGUUGUCCCGGUUUAAGCAUGUAGGCUGGUUGUCCAGGCAAAUCCGGAUAAUCAAGGCUGAGGUGUGAUGACGAGGCACUACGGUGCUGAAGUAACAAAUGCCCUGCUUCCAGGAAAAGCCUCUAAGCAUCAGGUAACAUUAAAUCGUACCCCAAACCGACACAGGUGGUCAGGUAGAGAAUACCAAGGCGCUUGAGAGAACUCGGGUGAAGGAACUAGGCAAAAUGGUGCCGUAACUUCGGGAGAAGGCACGCUGGUGUGUAGGUGAAGUCCCUGCGGAUGGAGCUGAGACCAGUCGAAGAUACCAGCUGGCUGCAACUGUUUAUUAAAAACACAGCACUGUGCAAACACGAAAGUGGACGUAUACGGUGUGACGCCUGCCCGGUGCCGGAAGGUUAAUUGAUGGGGUUAUCCGUAAGGAGAAGCUCUUGAUCGAAGCCCCGGUAAACGGCGGCCGUAACUAUAACGGUCCUAAGGUAGCGAAAUUCCUUGUCGGGUAAGUUCCGACCUGCACGAAUGGCGUAAUGAUGGCCAGGCUGUCUCCACCCGAGACUCAGUGAAAUUGAACUCGCUGUGAAGAUGCAGUGUACCCGCGGCAAGACGGAAAGACCCCGUGAACCUUUACUAUAGCUUGACACUGAACAUUGAGCCUUGAUGUGUAGGAUAGGUGGGAGGCUUUGAAGCGUGGACGCCAGUCUGCGUGGAGCCAACCUUGAAAUACCACCCUUUAAUGUUUGAUGUUCUAACGUUGGCCCCUGACCGGGGUUGCGGACAGUGUCUGGUGGGUAGUUUGACUGGGGCGGUCUCCUCCCAAAGCGUAACGGAGGAGCACGAAGGUUAGCUAAUCCUGGUCGGACAUCAGGAGGUUAGUGCAAUGGCAUAAGCUAGCUUGACUGCGAGCGUGACGGCGCGAGCAGGUGCGAAAGCAGGUCAUAGUGAUCCGGUGGUUCUGAAUGGAAGGGCCAUCGCUCAACGGAUAAAAGGUACUCCGGGGAUAACAGGCUGAUACCGCCCAAGAGUUCAUAUCGACGGCGGUGUUUGGCACCUCGAUGUCGGCUCAUCACAUCCUGGGGCUGAAGUAGGUCCCAAGGGUAUGGCUGUUCGCCAUUUAAAGUGGUACGCGAGCUGGGUUUAGAACGUCGUGAGACAGUUCGGUCCCUAUCUGCCGUGGGCGCUGGAGAAUUGAGGGGGGCUGCUCCUAGUACGAGAGGACCGGAGUGGACGCAUCACUGGUGUUCGGGUUGUCAUGCCAAUGGCACUGCCCGGUAGCUAAAUGCGGAAGAGAUAAGUGCUGAAAGCAUCUAAGCACGAAACUUGCCCCGAGAUGAGUUCUCCCUGAGACUUUAAGUCUCCUGAAGGAACGUUAAAGACGAUGACGUUGAUAGGCCGGGUGUGUAAGCGCAGCGAUGCGUUGAGCUAACCGGUACUAAUGAACCGUGAGGCUUAACCUU